rnacentral:tRNA from 1 species
GACACCGAGUAGUACAGGUUGUAGUGGCCGUUCACAUAGCGGAUGUCGGGGGCCCACAACCGGGCGCCCUUGUGCCAGGCGGGUUUGGUCUCA